rnacentral:rRNA from 1 species
GACGAACGCUGGCGGCGUGCUUAGCACAUGCAAGUCGAACGGGAGUAUUGAAGAAGCUUGCUUUAGAGAUACUUUAGUGGCGGACGGGUGAGUAACGCGUGAGGAGCUGUCCUAUGCAGGGGGACAACAGCUGGAAACGGCUGCUAAUACCCCAUAAGCCGAGAGGUAAAAGGAUCAAUCCGGCAGAGGAGGUACUCGCGUCCUAUCAGCUAGUAGGUGAGGUAACGGCUCACCUAGGCGAAGACGGGUAGCCGGCCUGAGAGGGCGAACGGCCACACUGGAACUGAGAUACGGUCCAGACUCCUACGGGAGGCAGCAGUGGGGAAUAUUGGACAAUGGGGGAAACCCUGAUCCAGCCAUGCCGCGUGCAGGAUGAAGGCCUUCGGGUUGUAAACUGCUUUUGUACGGACGAAAAGGUCUUUUCUAAUAAAGAAGACUCAUGACGGUACCGUAAGAAUAAGCACCGGCUAAUUACGUGCCAGCAGCCGCGGUAAGCAUACUCGUA